GCGCGCGUAGCUCAGCCCGGUUAGAGCAGCGGACUUAUAAACCGCAGGUCCUUGGUUCGAAUCCAAGCGCGCGCAUCA
rnacentral:tRNA from 1 species